AUUAAGGGCAUCUCCAUCAGUGA
rnacentral:siRNA from 1 species